GUCUGAAUGUUUGGAUAUUUUGUUUUUGGUUGAUGCAGCUCUGCCAAACUACACCCAAUUUUGUCACAGCGGCGUGAAACCCUACAAGAAAUUGAAACAUUUUGGAUUUGUAAUUGAUCUUAACUGGGACCAUUAUGGCAUUUGCUAGUAAGGUUGUAAUGCCCUCGGAGCUCCGUGUUUUGCUGCAGGAGGCCAAACCUUGGACACUACGUUAGGAGGCAUAGGAACUCUGGUCUCUUGUUGUGUUCCAUCACAAGCAGGGGCCUAUGAAUUUGCCAUGCUGAAAAUCAUUAAUAUGGGAUCCUUCCCGGCACCGAAAUCUAAAAUCUAUAAAAUCUAAAAUGAAUGACAAAUUGAAUAUUUAUCACUGAAGCUUUGUUGCUUGUUGGAAAAAAUAAAGUCGUUUUCAUGAUA